rnacentral:rRNA from 1 species
UACGGAGGGUGCAAGCGUUGUUCGGAAUUACUGGGCGUAAAGCGCACGUAGGCGGCUUUGUAAGUUAGAGGUGAAAGCCCGGGGCUCAACUGCGGAAUUGCCUUUAAGACUGCAUCGCUAGAAUUGUGGAGAGGUAAGUGGAAUUCCGAGUGUAGAGGUGAAAUUCGUAGAUAUUCGGAAGAACACCAGUGGCGAAGGCGGCUCACUGGACCGGUAUUGACGCUGAGGUGCGAAAGCGUGGGGAGCAAACAGG